GACGAACGCUGGCGGCGUGCUUAACACAUGCAAGUCGAACGGAAAGGCCCUGCUUUUGUGGGGUGCUCGAGUGGCGAACGGGUGAGUAACACGUGAGUAACCUGCCCUUGACUUUGGGAUAACUUCAGGAAACUGGGGCUAAUACCGGAUAGGAGCUCCUGCUGCAUGGUGGGGGUUGGAAAGUUUCGGCGGUUGGGGAUGGACUCGCGGCUUAUCAGCUUGUUGGUGGGGUAGUGGCUUACCAAGGCUUUGACGGGUAGCCGGCCUGAGAGGGUGACCGGCCACAUUGGGACUGAGAUACGGCCCAGACUCCUACGGGAGGCAGCAGGGGGGAAUAUUGCACAAUGGGCGGAAGCCUGAUGCAGCAACGCCGCGGGCGGGAUGACGGCCUUCGGGUUGUAAACCGCUUUCGCUCAUGACGAAGCUUUGUGUGACGGUAGUGGGUAAAGAAGCACCGGCUAACUACGUG
rnacentral:rRNA from 1 species